UACGUAGGGUGCGAGCGUUAAUCGGAAUUACUGGGCGUAAAGCGUGCGCAGGCGGUUCGUCAAGUCUGAUGUGAAAGCCCCGGGCUCAACCUGGGAAUGGCAUUGGAAACUAGCGGGCUUGAGUGUGGCAGAGGGGGGUGGAAUUCCACGUGUAGCAGUGAAAUGCGUAGAAAUGUGGAGGAACACCGAUGGCGAAGGCAGCCCCCUGGGCUAACACUGACGCUCAUGCACGAAAGCGUGGGGAGCAAACAGG
rnacentral:rRNA from 1 species